rnacentral:rRNA from 1 species
UACGAAGGGGGCUAGCGUUGCUCGGAAUCACUGGGCGUAAAGGGUGCGUAGGCGGGCCUUUAAGUCCGGGGUGAAAUCCUGGAGCUCAACUCCAGAACUGCCUUUGAUACUGAGGAUCUUGAGUACGGGAGAGGUGAGUGGAACUGCGAGUGUAGAGGUGAAAUUCGUAGAUAUUCGCAAGAACACCAGUGGCGAAGGCGGCUCACUGGCCCGUAACUGACGCUGAGGCGCGAAAGCGUGGGGAGCAAACAGG